rnacentral:tRNA from 1 species
GCCUGGAUGGCUCAGUCGGUGAAGCAUCUGACUUCAGCUCAGGUCAUGAUCUCCUGUUUUGUGGGUUUGAGCCCCAUGUUGGGCU